rnacentral:tmRNA from 1 species
UGAAGCUACCAAACUAAUAGCCUGCUGCCGGGCGCUUAGAAUGGGAAUUUAAAUCGGCCAGCUGCACUCGGAGAAAGCAGUGAUUGUCGGCUUUCGGACACGGGUUCGACUCCCGUCAUCUCCACCA